rnacentral:rRNA from 1 species
CCUACGGGCUGCUGCAGUGGGGAAUAUUGGACAAUGGGCGAAAGCCUGAUCCAGCCAUGCCGCGUGUGUGAAGAAGGCCUUCGGGUUGUAAAGCACUUUCAGUGGGGAAGAAAGCCUUGGGGCUAAUACCCUCGAGGAAGGACAUCACCCACAGAAGAAGCACCGGCUAACUCCGUGCCAGCAGCCGCGGUAAUACGGAGGGUGCGAGCGUUAAUCGGAAUUACUGGGCGUAAAGCGCGCGUAGGCGGUCUGAUAAGCCGGUUGUGAAAGCCCCGGGCUCAACCUGGGAACGGCAUCCGGAACUGUCAGGCUAGAGUGCAGGAGAGGAAGGUAGAAUUCCCGGUGUAGCGGUGAAAUGCGUAGAGAUCGGGAGGAAUACCAGUGGCGAAGGCGGCCUUCUGGACUGACACUGACGCUGAGGUGCGAAAGCGUGGGUAGCAAACAGGAUUAGAUACCCGAGUAGUC